UACGUAGGGGGCGAGCGUUGUCCGGAUUCAUUGGGCGUAAAGAGCUCGUAGGCGGCUUGGCAAGUCGGGUGUGAAAACUCCAGGCUCAACCUGGAGACGCCACCCGAUACUGCCAUGGCUUGAGUCCGGUAGGGGACCACGGAAUUCCUGGUGUGGCGGUGAAAUGCGCAGAUAUCAGGAGGAACACCGGUGGCGAAGGCGGUGGUCUGGGCCGGUACUGACGCUGAGGAGCGAAAGCGUGGGGAGCGAACAGG
rnacentral:rRNA from 1 species